rnacentral:rRNA from 1 species
UACGUAGGGCGCGAGCGUUGUCCGGAUUUAUUGGGCGUAAAGAGCUCGUAGGCGGCUUGUUACGUCGACUGUGAAAACCCGCGGCUCAACCGUGUGGUCUGCAGUCGAUACGGGCAGGCUAGAGUUCGGUAGGGGAGACUGGAAUUCCUGGUGUAGCGGUGAAAUGCGCAGAUAUCAGGAGGAACACCGGUGGCGAAGGCGGGUCUCUGGGCCGAUACUGACGCUGAGGAGCGAAAGCGUGGGGAGCGAACAGG